AUUGAACGCUGGCGGCAGGCCUAACACAUGCAAGUCGAACGAGUGGCGGACGGGUGAGUAAUGUCUGGGAAUCUGCCUGAAGGAGGGGGCUAACGACUGGAAACGGUAGCUAAUACCGCAUACCCUCGGAUGUGCCCAGAUGGGAUUGUCUAGGAGGUGGGGUAACGGCUCCCCUAGGCGACGAUCCCUAGCUGGUCUGAGCGGAUGAACAGCAACACUGGAACGUGGACACGGUCCAGACUACUAAGGGAGGCAGCAGUGGGGAAUAUUGCACAAUGGGCGAAAGCCUGAUGCAGCCAUGCCGCGUGUAUGAAGAAGGCCUUAGGGUUGUAAAGUACUUUCAGCGGGGAGGCGUUACCCGCAGAAGAAGCACCGGCUAACUCCGUGCCAGCCGCCGCGGUAAUAC
rnacentral:rRNA from 1 species